rnacentral:rRNA from 1 species
GUGGGGAAUCUUGCGCAAUGGGCGAAAGCCUGACGCAGCCAUGCCGCGUGAAUGAUGAAGGUCUUAGGAUUGUAAAAUUCUUUCACCGGGGUCGAUAAUGACGGUACCCGGAGAAGAAGCUCCGGCUAACUUCGUGCCAGCAGCCGCGGUAAUACGAAGGGGGCUAGCGUUGCUCGGAUUUACUGGGCGUAAAGGGCGCGUAGGCGGACAUUUAAGUCAGGGGUGAAAUCACGGGGCUCAACCUCGGAACUGCCUUUGAUACUGGGUGUCUUGAGUAUGAGAGAGGUGUGUGGAACUCCGAGUGUAGAUGUGACAUUCGUAGAUAUUCGGAAGAACACCAGUGGCGAAGGCGACACACUGGCUCAUUACUGACACUGAGGCGCGAAAGCGUGGGGAGCAAACAGGAUUAGAAACCCGGGUAGUCC